AUUGAACGCUGGCGACAUGCCUUACACAUGCAAGUCAAACGGUAACAGGUCUUCGGAUGCUGACGAGUGGCGAACGGGUGAGUAAUACAUCGGAACGUGCCCGAUCGUGGGGGAUAACGGAGCGAAAGCUUUGCUAAUACCGCAUACGAUCUACGGAUGAAAGCAGGGGACCGCAAGGCCUUGCGCGGACGGAGCGGCCGAUGGCAGAUUAGGUAGUUGGUGGGAUAAAAGCUUACCAAGCCGACGAUCUGUAGCUGGUCUGAGAGGACGACCAGCCACGCUGGGACUGAGACACGGCCCAGACUCCUACGGGAGGCAGCAGUGGGGAAUUUUGGACAAUGGGCGAAAGCCUGAUCCGGCCAUGCCGCGUGCAGGAUGAAGGCCUUCGGGUUGUAAACUGCUUUUGUACGGAACGAAAAGCCUCUUUCUAAUAAAGAGAGGUCAUGACGGUACCGUAAGAAUAAGCACCGGCUAACUACGUGCCAGCCGCCGCCGUAACAC
rnacentral:rRNA from 1 species